GGGGGAUGUCGCGGUCCAGGCAGUGCUGCUGGUGCUGCUGGAGCUGCUGCUGGAGCUCCGGCGGCCAGGGAAGAAGGGCCGCCAGGGGGUAGCUGGAGAUCAUGUUCGCCUCCAGGGCAUGGUGGAGCCUAGACAGCAGGGUGGAGGCGGGGGUGGAGGUCCUGGAGGUAGGGGAGGUGGUGGUGGAGGUGGGGGUGGAGGUCCUGGAGGUAGGGGAGGUGGUGGUGGAGGUGGGGCUGGAGGUCCUGGUGGUGGGGGCGGAGGUCUUGGUGGUGGUGGUGGUGGUGAUGGAGGCGGAUGUCUCGGUGGUGGUGGUGGUGGUGGUGGUGGGGGCGGAGGUCUUGGUGGUGGGGUUGGUGGUGGUGGUGGUCUUUAGUUAAACCUCUGCUGUGGGUGUUUGUCUCUCUAUUGUUAUUCUACUUGUCGCCGCUGCGGUCGUCGUUGUUGUCACGGCUGCUGUCCUUGUUGCUGUUGUUGUUGUGGUCGUCACCGAUGUCAAUGUCAGGUCCAGCCGGCUCGCCACUUGUGGUGGACACACGACCUGUCUUGAUAGCCGACCUCUUGGCUCUGGUCUCUGUCCCUCUGUGGAUGAAGGCUCAGACGUGUGAGGCCAGGGUGGUCCUGACUCGCCACGAUCCCCGUCAAUAAGCCGCCUUCCUCUUUCCCUCACUUACUCACGCUUUCUUUUCCUUUCCGACGCACAGACACAAUAUGUCCCUUCAGUCUCCUGUUUCUCUCCUGUGUGCGAGUGGCUCCGCCGGCGAACAGCUCUGAGUCACAUGAGGGAUACACGUCUGUACAUCUCUCC
ensembl:lncRNA